GUUUACACCGGUGUAGGCUUCUCUAGUGGUCGGUGUUUACUUAAUUGUAUAUGAUGGCGGUGAACGAAAGUAAUCCCGUAAAUACGUUCCGCAAUUAUUUAAAUAUUCUUAAUGAUUCUUCUGCAAAAGAAGAACUCAAGCUGAAAGCUACGCAAGAACUUAGUGAACACUUUGAAAUGAUAAUGCAAAGUCCAGCUUACCCGUCUUUCUUAGAAAAUUCGUUAAAAAUAUUUAUGCGUAUACUGCAGGACGGCGAGCCUGAGUUUAUUCAAGAAAAUACAAUGCAACACCGAGAUAUCGAAGAAAAGGGACAAAAAAGGAACGGAAGGAAAGGAAUUCAAAAUACUUACGAAACAAAAUACUACAUACUAAUUUCGUGGUCUUUUGCGUGGAAAAUCCCAACAGGCUUCCCCCCCAGAUCCUCCAAAUCGUAGGCAUUGUUCCCUAUAGGGAGACCGACUCGGCAUUUCACAUAUUUUCGAGCAAACUUGGCAUUGUACAUCAUUCUUGGCCAGGCUUGGCAUGGAAAACUCGAGCCCGUUUGUUAUAGCGCUGGUUGCUGUAUUCAUAUGCCUGAUGAAGAUUUUUCCGGAUGUGAUCGCGGAUAAGUUGGCGCUUAUCUACUGGAUCUAGCUUCGUUAUUUGAUGUUCUGUCAAGGACUGCAGUUUUCUUGCCAGUCGACAAUCGACACUUCUAUUUCCGUUUUGAUUCCUUGCAUUUGGUGCAAUUCCGGACAUACUCCCGCACUUGUGUCGUCAUAGCCGGCCAGUAGAAAUGACGUUUUAGACGAUGAAGUGUCUUUUUCAUCCCCCCGUGUGCAGCUUUGUGAUCCUCGUGCGCGUUCGCUGUAAGUGUAGAUGUUAUUCCUGUCGGGAUCCACAGCUUCCAAAUUGAGCCUUCAACUUGGUCGUCAAGAUGUUCGAAUGCUGUUCUUUUGAAGAUUAAAGCCCCAUCCACGCGUAAAUCAGGCAAUGUUGCAUCUGAUAAAUCCAAACUUAACUCCGCUAUGCAGCGUGACAGGGUGUCAGCAACCACGUUCUCAGUUUCCUUGCGAUGCUCAAUUUUAAAGUUAAAACUCUGAAGCUUUAAAGACCACCUUGCCAAACGUCCAUUUAGAUCCUUGAGGGACAUUAGCCAUUUUAGGCUUGCGUGGUCCGUGAUCACAAAAAACGGCAUCAGCUCCACGUAAGGCCUAAACUUUUCAACUACUAACAUCGCUCCCAGACAUUCUUUUUCAGUGAUGGAAUACAAAAUCUGAUGUUUAUACUAUUAAGCUUGGAAGAGAAGAAAGCUACGGGACGCUCUGAAUUUUCGUCGUCCAACUGGAACAAUACUGCUCCCACUCCAUUGUUAGAGGCGUAGCAUUGGAUAAAGAAUGGACGUUUAAAAUCAGCAUGGACUAAUAUUUGCGCUGUAGUUAGCGCCAUCUUGCCUCUUGGAUGUUUCUUGAGGUCGUCGGUUAGCGGUGCUGCAAUGGAUGCAAAGUUUUUAAUGAAUCGCCUGUGUCACCCUGCUGUACCUAGGAAGCUUAGUAUCUCCAUUACGUUCUUCGGAUCAGGAUUCUUCUGUAUGGCCAACACUCUUUCUGGAUCCAUUUGCAGCUUCCACCCCCAAUGAUAAACUCAAAGUAUUUUAAAGAUUUGAAACAAAAUUUAGACUUCUUUAGCCCUAUCGUUAAAUUUGCUCGUAUCAGGCAUUGUGCUGACAAACGGAGAAAUCGCAGAUGCGUCUGGAGGCCAGGAGCUAUCACCAGAAGAUCGUCCAGAUAGACAAAUACGUUUGAUCGUAGUUGUGUUGGAAUGACUUGGUCCAUCAGUCGACAUAAUCUUUGGGCAGCAUUGCAGAGACCGAAGGGCAUCAUCACGAAUUGGUAAAGUGGACGUCCGGCUACUGUGAAAGCGGUAUACUUCCGGCUUUCCGGUUCCAAUUUUAUUUGUCAGAACGCAAAAUUUAAGAUUGACGCUAGAUAUAUAUUAUGUCUGGUCGAUCCUAGACAAUAUGCCUUCGAUACUCGGGAGAGGGUAGGCGUCCUUUAUGACCACUUCCUGCAUCGCUGGUGAUAGCGGAUAACAACGAUCCUUAAACGGUACUGCGCCCCCACCAACUGGAUAUAGUGCUGUUCUGCUGCAGUCGUUCCUAGCCCAGCUUCUUCGUCCCAAGUUCUACCUCCGUUUCUUGUCUUCUAUCUUCCGCAUAGUGGCUGAUCUGGGACAUCUUGACUUCAGCUACUUGGGCGUGACUGGAUUCGCUGUUUUCGUCGCCUAGAACUGCUGGAGCCAACUCAAAAAUCUCCAGAUAUCGAUACCCAAGUACAUCGAUUGUUCCAGGAAGCUAUAUUUUUCCAAUUAUAGAUCUGUCUUCGCGACGAACACAUAUCUGUCCAUCUCUACCCCGAGUUCGGCCAUCAGCUCCCUACUGUCUUCGCCCAGUAGACUUACAGAGGCUCCUGUAUCCAGCAGUCCCGCAAUCUUCCGGCCGUGUAUGGUACCCCAGCGAAAACCAAUGGAUCCGUUCUCGUUCCACGUUGGACUGAUUCGCCACCUACUUACGCGUUUGUCGCCUUAAAGCGUGAGCGGGUCUUUAGAACCCUGCGGCUGACUCCCCGCAUACCUGCAAGCUGUCUGGCGUCGAAAAUCCUGUUUCCGACUUCCAUAUAUCUUUUCAUUCUUUCCUCGGCUGGUAGAAACCUUAACUUAUUAAUAUCUAAUAUAUUUUGUUUAUUAAUAAUAUGUUGAUCAUUUACUUCAAGCUUAUCAUCUACUUCGACGCAGGUUUCUAGCCUAAGCGUUGCUCACCUGAUUUCGUCACGCUUGGUCGGCUGUUUCCCGAACAAUUCGCACAUGUCGGAGUAAAGUGUUCCGGUUUUCCACAGCGGUAACAAAAGAUGCUGCGUUCCUUGGCCACACAAUCGCGGAAUCCGUGAUCAAACUGGCCGUAGUUCCAACAACACAUCCUCGGCUUGGUCAACAGGUGAGCCUCCUCCAUAAUCACCGCUUCUUCCUUGUCUUGCGAAUCCGGCUCCGGUGUGAUUUCUUCGACUCUCUUUCCAGAGGACGAAAACUUCUGCGAUGGUCUGUAUGCUGGCCAGGGCUCUGUUCUGACAAAAGUGUCUUCCACCCCCAAGCAUUCCUCGCGAAGCUGCUCCACGCUUCGUACCCUGACUGGGUACUGGUUCUUAAUCACCCGGAUCAUUUCGGACUCCGACAUGGGUUGGGUACGUUCAAUGGUCCCAUUGCCUCGGUAACGGCAAUAAUCAUUUCCAUAUCGCCGGAUUUCCUCUUGCAAAGAUCGGCUAAUGGACUCCAUCAUUCCUCCUCGUUGCGUCUCCUGAGCCUUGGCUAAGGUCACAUUGACAGCCGAUGUGAUUUCUGAUGGCAGAACCUUCGAUGCUUCUGGCAAAUUCCAGCUGUCAUCGUCUCUUUCUUGUGGCUCCUGCCGAGGAUUGCCUGGUGGAGGAGUCCUGUCUACCAUUUUCCCCUUUGACCUUAAAAAAUACUUGCUCAUAAACUUUUUCUAAUCUAUCUCUACUUAGAUGUUUUACUAAUAUUUAUCUUUUAUUUUUUUAUAGUUUUGAACUGGCCACAACACACAAUGACACCUCGAACAAAAAUAAGCACAACUACAACAGGGAGGGACAAACACUACAUUCACCGGAGCUAACUUCACCCCCGGAUUUCAGUGUCUUCUAUUUCCAGCACAAGUUUCUCGGUGAGCGCUGUUGACCAUCCCAUCUUCCACAGAAGACUAGGUGUCAAGGGCGCUCGCCACUCUAUUAUCUGUACUUCCCACUUACUUACAUCACUAAAUGAUUGUUCUAGGAGUGACGAACCGCCAUAAGUGCAACGAGUGGCCGAAUUCUCUGGUCCCCAUGGGCCACUCACAGUCGAAUCUUCACAUCCUGACCUCAUCACGGCCAUAGAAAUAUUUCCUGCUAGUGCCGAACCACCCUUACCGAGCACCCUCUUCCGUUCGUCAGAUAAGUACCAAUCUCUUUCAACAAAAAAAAACUUGACAUUUACUUUGGGGUAUCUUUGCUUCCAGAUCCCCCCGGCACCGCGCUACUAUGAGCCGACCAUCAGGUCCUUCAUAGGCCAUCAGUCACCGAGGUAUCCGAAUCGCCAAGUCCCCUCCGAGAUCCUACCUCUCGACUGGUUAUUUAUAAUUCCCACCGGCGUGCAAUUCGCAUCCUUUUCGACCCUUACGGAUGAUAUGAUCAGCGUAUUCACUCCUGCCUUUAAUUUGGGCGCCAUCUAUUGUCACGGACCUGUUUUUCGAUGGGGCAAGGCCGGCUAGUCAGUCCAUCUCAUGGUGGGGUUCUUCCCAGCCCUCAGUACGCACAAUAGCCCAGCUGAUCGGUCAUCUCAGUCCGACGACAUCAUAACAAGAUCAAAUGUAAACAAAAAUAAAAUUCAAACAAAAAUAUAAUAAAUAA